rnacentral:lncRNA from 1 species
UAAAUAGGUCACAGAGACCUAGAUACAAUAAUAAAAAAAGAUAAAAUUCAGAAAAAGAAUUUAAACAUUCCUGUAAGUUCUUCACCUUAUCUCUCCAUUCCACGAAGAGCGAAGAGCGGAGAUGAAUGAGGCAGGAGACUCAUAGAGUAUGAAAAGAGUUCCAGUUUAUUAUGCUGUACAACCUUGUUGUUAUACAUUUUUGCAAGUAUGAUUAGCAUGUGAACAGUAGACAAUCCCCUAUCACCAUUCAGAAAAGCAGCUUGUGGGCUUUGCAUAUGUAUGAUAUCUGGCAAUGGGAUGAGAGCCAAUCCAGCAAUCUAGCACCAUUCUUAACCUUUUUUGUGUCAUAGAUUCCUUUAACAAUAUAGUGUGGGCUAUGGUCCCCUUUCAGAAUAAUGUUUUCAAAUGCAUAAAAUAAAAUAUAUAAGGUUUCCAAAGAAACAAAUUAUAUUGAAAAUAGUUAUCAAAAAUAUUAUUUAAAUGAAUUUGAGAUUUAAGAACUCCUGCUCUAGAACAACUGAUAGAUUGAUAAAUUGGGGGAAUCACUAAGAACUAGCUCAACUGGUUCUGUUUACAUUUCAUUGAAAGUCAGGAGUAGAUAAUAUAGUUGGAAAAAUUCUAGAAUUUUAAAUUCUCAGUUGUGGCAGUUACUGUCAAACAAUGGGAAAGUAUUUGGGGGCAGCUAGAUGGAACAAGUGAAUAGAGUGCCAGUCCUGGAGUAAGGAAGAUUUAAGUCCAAAUCUGGACUCAGAUACUUAACACUUAAAUUUGUUAUGUGACCCUGGACAAGUCACUUCAUCCCAAUUGCCUCUUUAAAAAAAAAAGAAAAGAAAAAAGGAAGUUAGUUUCUCUCCAUGGGUUUUCUUUUCCUUAGGAAGGAAUAAAAAGGAAUGGAGGUUGUUUUUUUUUUUUAUUAAAUAUAUGCUAUUUGCCAGGAACAACUAAUACAAAUAGCAUCUAAUUUGAUUCUCACAACAACCUUAGAAAGUAGAUACUUUUAGUGAUAUUCUUUUUCUUUCUUUCUUUUAUUUUAAUAGCCUUUUAUUUACAGGUUAU